AUUGAACGCUGGCGGCAGGCCUAACACAUGCAAGUCGAGCGCGCGGCGGACGGGGGAGUAAUGUAUGGGGACUGCCCGAUAGAGGGGGAUAACUACUGGAAACGGUGUCUAAUACCGCACACGGUCGGAUAACCCAUAUGGGAUUAGAGAGGGGGUAAGGUAAUGGCUUACAUAGGCGACGAGCCCUAGCUGGUCUGAGAGGAUGAGCAGCCACACUGGGACUGAGACACGGCCCAUACUCCUACGGAGGCAGCAGUGGGGAAUAUUGCACAAUGGGCGCAAGCCUGAUGCAGCCAUGCCGCGUGUAUGAAGAAGGCCCUAGGGUUGUAAAGUACUUUCAGUCGGGAGGCGUUACCUACAGAAGAAGCACCGGCUAACUCCGUGCCAGCAGCCGCGGUAAUUC
rnacentral:rRNA from 1 species